GGAAAGUUGGCUCAGUGGUAAAGCGCUUGCCUUGCAUGCAUGAGGACCUGGGUUCGAUUCCUCAGCCG
rnacentral:tRNA from 1 species